GAACUGUGUGCAUUUAAGCACCAAUCACAUGCAUACCUGCCAUUUCUGUAUUACUCAACACCAUCUAACAAGAGAUCAAACUUUUUAAAGGAGGGGGAAAAAUCAGUAUUUGUAGGGUGCCUACUGUUUGCCAGGUAACUUUUAAUCCUCCUCCUAAAUUCACAGUCAAUCGUGCAGCCUACAGGUGUCCUCUCUCCACAGGUAGAAGCAAUGCCAGUUCUUCACCUGGAUGCUUCAGUCUCUUACCCAAACCCAGUGCAUGCUGGGAUUAUAGUCCGCAGCCCUAGAACCAACAGGCUGGGAGUAGAACAGAUACUACAACUCCGAACAUUCCGUACGAAGGUCCCGCUUUCCAAAUCACACUUCCAUGCGUCCAGUGCAGUUCUGCCUUGCUGAGGGAAGCGUGGGUGUUCCCAAACCUCUCCUGCCUGCGAGGAGACAGCGGGGCCAGGGCAUCUGGUCUCACCUUGUAAUUGUGACACUGUGUCUCCUCGAAGCUUCCCGCUCAAAGCUUGAUUUUCUGCAGGCCGGCAAGGACCCCAGAGACUCUCACAGCCUCCUCAGGGUUGCCAUGAUAAUGUUGAUCCUCCAGUAUGUGGGCGCACACGGCCCCUUUCUUCUGCCCCACCCCUCCCCUCAGCCCCGCCCCUUCCUUCUCGCCCCGCCCCUUGUCACGCCCUUCGAGCAUGCGCCGUGUAGCCUUCUCCGUAGAGGUGGGGCUAUCAGCCCGUGGACCUGGUAGCUGCAGGCUUUCUUUGUAUCCUACUCGGGAAGCUCCCUCAUAGUGUCUGAAACCGUCAUUUCACUGCCAGAAGUGAAUAUACACGGUCCUAGUAACCUGGCACUUGCCUUUCCAAAGUCACCUUUCCCUCGGACUCUCCGUGCUGCCACGAAUCCUCUGCACCCCAGGAGCACCCCGGUCUGGCUGCGCCCCCCACACCUGGGUCAGGCCUCUCACAGGGACGCCCCAGCCGCUGUAAUAAAGUCACAUGAGAAAGGCCUGUGACGUUAUUAGGAGAAAACGUCACAGGGGAAAGGCCUGAACACUGCUCCAUCCAGUCAAGAAGCAGCCACAAGGAAGGGACCCCCUAAGCUGCUUUUGGGGCCACAUCCACCACUGACCCCCACCCAGGCUGGUUCCCAGGUCUUGGGGUCCUAGUGAUAAGGAAGGGAACUGCUGGAAGGGAAGAGCGUGGUCCCUUCAAAUGAUACGGAAGGGGGAAGGGAAGUAUGGGUUAGAGGAGGGCAUGGUCCCUGGCUAGGGCUCCACCCCCACGGACCUAGGUGAGGACAGGCAUUUUUGUUUUCUUGCCCAAAUGUUGCAUUUCCCAAGACCACCGUGGCCUGCCACGCCCCCAUCUUGUGCCUAUAAAAACCCUGAGGCCCUAACAGGCAGACACACAGGUCCUCUGGACGUCCUCUGGGCAUAGAGGGGAGUACUCUGUGGAAGAGCACAGGAUAGACUCCAGCAGACCAGCAGGCUAUCCACCGGCAGAAGGAGAUUAACUCUAAGUACUCCACAACUACACACUUCUGAAACUAGUGUAGGCGCAGCCUCAGCUCCGUGCAGGGUGGAUGCACCAGAGCAGACUCUCCCUGGGACAUCUUUCUGGAGCAUUAAUAACAAGUCAGUUGAAAGCCCUGCCUUGCCAGUUUCCACAGUCACAAUGUGGCCUUGG
rnacentral:lncRNA from 1 species